rnacentral:rRNA from 1 species
AUUGAACGCUGGCGGCAGGCCUAACACAUGCAAGUCGAGCGGAGCGGCGGACGGGGGAGUAAUACCUAGGAAGCUGCCUGGUAGUGGGGGGUGACGACCGGCAACAAGCGGUAAUACCGCCUACUAUCAGAAGAGCCUAGGUCGGAUUAGCUAGUUGGUGGGGUAAAGGCCUACCAAGGCGACGAUCCGUAACUGGUCUGAGAGGAUGAUCAGUCAAACUGGAACUGAGACACGGUCCAGACUCCUACGGGAGGCAGCAGUGGGGAAUAUUGGACAAUGGGCGAAAGCCUGAUCCAGCCAUGCCGCGUGUGUGAAGAAGGUCUUCGGAUUGUAAAGCACUUUAAGUUGGGAGGCGUUACCAACAGAAUAAGCACCGGCUAACUUCGUGCCAGCAGCCGCGGUAAUAC